UAGUGAGUUUGAUCCUGGCUCAGAACGAACGCUGGCGGCAUGCCUAACACAUGCAAGUCGAACGAAGCCUUCGGGCUUAGUGGCGCACGGGUGCGUAACGCGUGGGAAUCUGCCCUUGGGUUCGGAACAACAGUUGGAAACGACUGCUAAUACCGGAUGAUGUCUUCGGACCAAAGAUUUAUCGCCCAGGGAUGAGCCCGCGUAGGAUUAGCUUGUUGGUGAGGUAAAGGCUCACCAAGGCGACGAUCCUUAGCUGGUCUGAGAGGAUGAUCAGCCACACUGGGACUGAGACACGGCCCAGACUCCUACGGGGAGGCAGCAGUGGGGAAUUUUGGACAAUGGGGGCAACCCUGAUCCAGCAAUGCCGCGUGUGUGAA
rnacentral:rRNA from 1 species